GAGCACAAUUGAUGUGGCAAUACUGUCCAAUACUGGCCAAAAAGAAGAACAUAUAGAUGUAUUUACAGAACGUUUACGUAUAAAUGAGAAUAGAGGCGCGGCCGUUGGAGAAGGCAGAUGUUCAGCUAAGAUGGCCGAGAAGAGAAGCAUGGAAGCCGCCCAAUGGCCCCCGCUCGCUACCUGCUCACCCACUCGACGAAACUUGGCGACACUCAUCCACAUAACUUUCUCAAUUUUAAAUCAACCAGCCAAGAAAUUAAACCAAAGGAUAUUUCAGGAUUAUCUUGUACUUUGUAUUUUACGGAUAAAUUUUUUUU